GAGAAAUGGUUGGGGCACUACAAGUCCCAUCAGCCCUAGUGCUAUAUAAGGAAGCAGCGAGGUUCGUUCGCUCUCUCGCUUCCUGUCUUUGACUGACUGGUGGAUGAAUGGAUGUCACGGCACAUCUAAAACUUCAAUUGAUGAUUGAUCACCUCAGAAGAAGAGUAGCAGGCGAGCAGUUAUGUUAAAUGCUGGUGCAGCGUUAUUACGAGCUGAAUAUAUGAUACACACCGUUAAGGAGUGUUUUGGCCGGAUUAUUGCCUGACUGAUUGUUGCCUGAGUGUCCAUCAAAAUAACGGAUGUUAGAGGGAUGCACGGUUACCGUUUACUUUAGAUUUAAUUUUCUUUGGUUUAUUUAUUGUUUUUUUUGUUGGAUGUUGGAUCAUAAUUGUAUAAGGAAAACCUAGGCCAUAAAAGGAUGGUUCUAUGGUGCUGACUGGUUAGUUCUACUUGCAUUACCCACUGUUAAUUAAUUUGUUUUUCUUUCUUUUUGUAGAUUUCUUUUCAAACCAACCAUGGCUUCUGGGUUAUCCUCACUGUGUGGAUGGCGGUGGUGAGGUGGCUGGGACCGUGUGGUGGUUUGGUCACUUUAUUUGUGUUUCUUUCUUUUUUGUAGGUUUGCAGUGUUAUUGCUGUGAGCGUUGUUGUGGUGAGAGCAUUUUGAAUGCCACUCUGUCUUCACGAUAUAGGUAACCCGUGGCUAUCUGUUGGUUGAUUUCGUUUUUUGUUUCUUUAUUUAUUAUUAUUUCCUUUGUGGGUAUUUGCAUUGACGAUCUGUUACACCUUUUUUUAAUAUGUUGAAUUAUUUGAAUAAAAAUGUGCCUGUUG